CAACCCGCGUCCUACUCAACGGGGGCUGUGGAUCGGCAGCGCGGUCCAAGCCCUUUUGGGUCCGGGCUAUAGAAGGGGGGAAAAGGGUUAGAGGAUUGGUAUUUGGUAAUGUUGGGUUUUCCUGUCUCCUUUUCCUCCGACUUCAGUCUGGGAAGAGAUUAGGGCACAUGAUUCGUGAACGUUGAAGUACUGGAGAAUGGUAGAUACAAUGGUAUCAAACUUCUGGGGUCCAGUCACGUCCACCACUGAGUGGUGUGAAAGAAAUUAUUCUCAUUCUUCUUAUAUUGCGGAAUUUUACAAUACUAUAUCUAAUGUUCCUUGCAUUCUUUUGGCGUUAAUUGGCCUGAUUAAUGCCUUAAGGCAACGGUUUGAGAAAAGAUUCAGCAUUCUUCAUCUAUCCAAUAUGAUACUUGCCAUUGGGAGUAUGCUAUUCCAUGCCACACUACAACAUGUACAACAGCAAAGUGAUGAAACACCCAUGGUCUGGGAGAUGCUGCUAUACAUCUACGUCAUCUACUCUCCGGAUUGGCACUACAGGAGUACGAUGCCUACUUUCUUGUUUCUCUAUGGUGUUGCCUUCGCCAUUGCUCAUUCACAGGUACGUUUCGGCAUAGGCUUCAAGGUGCAUUACAUAAUCCUUUGUCUCCUGUGCGUCCCUCGGAUGUACAAGUACUAUCUAUACACAAAGGAGGCAUCUGCAAAACGGCUUGCGAAGCUCUAUGUGGCGACCAUAUUUCUAGCAAGUCUUUGUUGGCUGUCUGAUCGAAUCUUCUGCAAGAAAAUAUCAACGUGGCCCAUCAAUCCACAAGGCCAUGCGUUGUGGCAUGUGCUUAUGGGGUUCAAUUCCUACUUUGCGAAUGCGUUCUUAAUGUUCUGCCGUGCUCAGCAGCUAGGAUGGUCCCCCCAGGUUAAACACUUCAUGGGGCUUUUCCCCUAUGUGAAGAUCCAAAAACCGAAGACUCAGUGACAGUAAAAGUCGGUGGAACUAGCGGAUUGGAUGAUAGCAUUCUUUCUUAAACUUUGGAAGGAAGGUGCUCUCAUCCUUUAUCUCCAUGAAAUCUGAAAUGCAUGUCUGAGUGUUCUAUCUUCUGACUCCACAAGUAGCAGGUCAGGGAAGCACACAUCAUUUUGUGGGUGCCUAUGGUGACAUGCCUGCUUCAAUGUGGUACCUAUAAGCUAUUUCUUUGUAUGUCGAAGAAUAUUGCAUGUGUAUGGAUGCCAUGUUAGCAACUCGAUAGUGAUGCUCAUGAUGCUAUGAAUGCCUAACUGGAAUUUCUAGAUUCUUAUGAGAAAUCACAUUAGAACUCUUACUUGGCAGUCAUUCAUUGAUAUCUGCAUAUAGAAGAGGCUGCAAUGAGCAACUGUGAAUGUGGAAAUUCAACAGGAGAACUGCACCACGUUGGGUUUACUAGCUGAACGAACCACCUCAUGGGGCUCAUAGAUCUGAUGAACAUAAUAUCCACUGAUUGGAUGGCUGAUUGUGGUCCUAUGCAUGGGAUGAGCUGAUUCUGGAUUCCCUUUCAAUGAUCAUACCAAUCAUGGCAGUCCAUCUUCUGACUGGUGGCUGUAAACCUUUGUGAUUUUGGGCCUGAUUGCAUCUGGAGUGAGUGAAUUCUUUGCAGAUGAAUAUUUUUUGUUAUUUUAGUUAACACUUCAAAUUAGCUUCCUAUUAUGGUUUUAUUUGGAUGAUUGAUUGUUUAAGAGAGUAUUGAGAGAAUGAACAAGGGCAGCUUAGUAAUAUCGACUUCUAUGAAGAUUUUCGAGGAAAUCCUCCCUAGUGUCUUCUAUGAUAUAGAAUUAGGGUUCUUGGGAGCUGAUAUAAAAGAUGUCCAUUUGCAUUUUUUUGUAAGUUCUGUUUUUUCUGUAAAUUUUUCUUUGCUAGAUUUAAACCUUGUAGAGCAACUUGUAGUUGAUUGUUAUAAAAGAGUUCAAUUUAUUUUGAA